AACGAACGCUGGCGGCAUGCCUAACACAUGCAAGUCGAACGAGACCUUCGGGUCUAGUGGCGCACGGGUGCGUAACGCGUGGGAACCUGCCCUUAGGUUCGGAAUAACUCCCCGAAAGGGGUGCUAAUACCGGAUAAUGUCUUCGGACCAAAGAUUUAUCGCCUUUGGAUGGGCCCGCGUUGGAUUAGCUAGUUGGUAGGGUAAAAGCCUACCAAGGCGACGAUCCAUAGCUGGUCUGAGAUGAUGAUCAGCCACACUGGGACUGAGACACGGCCCAGACUCCUACGGGAGGCAGCAGUGGGGAAUAUUGGACAAUGGGCGAAAGCCUGAUCCAGCAAUGCCGCGUGAGUGAUGAAGGCCUUAGGGUUGUAAAGCUCUUUUACCCGGGAUGAUAAUGACAGUACCGGGAGAAUAAGCGCCGGCUAACUCCGUG
rnacentral:rRNA from 1 species